rnacentral:lncRNA from 1 species
AGCAUAUGGACCAAAUAUAGGCUGAAGUACACAGUGACAGCAUUAAAAGUAAAUUUCUUGAGCUGAAAUAUCAUGAUAUUUAUUGCCAAAUUAGGUGAACCUUUCUUUGCAGUAGAAUGGUAGUGAUGAAAAAGAUUAGGCAAAAGUUAGAAGUGAGAUGCAAAUUUCCCACCUGGAGAGGCUAGGCAUAGUUCCAUAAAAUUUACAUAGUACAACCAAGUGAUAAAACGAGUUGUUUCCAGUAGACCAGGGUUUCUCAACCUCAGUAGUAUUGACAUUUGGAUCCAGUAAUUCUUUGCUAUGAGGGGCUGUCCUGUGCAUUGUAGGAUGUCCAAUGACAUCCUGACCUAUGCCCAUGAGAUGCCAAUAGAAACUCCAUAUAUUUGUGAAAAUUAAAAAAAAAAUGUCACCAGAUAUUGCCUAAUGUCCUGGGGGAAGAAGGGGAAUAUGGGCAAAAAUCAUUCCUGGUUGAGAAUCAUUAGUAGGUUAAGACAUAGCCCGUGUUGACUAGAAGGAAAUUAUAUAUCCUUAUAGUAAAAAUGUCUACUAUUUGUAUUAAAUCCAUAUCAGUAUGGUGGGGUAGCCUGAUGUAGAGAGUCUCAUUGUUUACUGGAACUUCUGAAUAUCACAGCCAUGUGCGCAAAGACUAAGAAUACAGAGUGCCCAGUUGCCCAGCACAACAACAUUCCUCCACCAUUUAUUCAUUCUGGCCUUUGUAUCUUCUGUCUCUAACUCUUCACUGUCUUCUUUCCCCUGACCAUGGAAUUGAUCAUCUUCUUUAUUCCAGAACAAAUUAAAAUGUCUCUUGACAAUGCAAAGGUUUAAAAUUACUAUGUUUUCUCUCUUCACAUCACGACUAAGUUCUUAGAAAAGUAGUCUUCAGUGCCUGCCUCCACCUCCUCACUGCCCACUUUCUGGAACACAUCCCAAUUUGUCUUUCUUCCAUAUCACUACUAAAAGUAGUCCCCCAAAUGCUACAAUCCAAUAUCCCAAUUAAUGGAACUUUCCCUAAAUUCAUCUUUUGUUACUUCCAUGCCCCUGUUGAGCAAUGGUUCUUGAACUUUAUUGUGUGUCUGAAUCACUGGAGAGCUUUUUCAGAUUUCUAAGCUGUAUACCCAGAGUUUCUGAUUUAGUAGUUCUGGGUGGGGUUUGAGAUUAGCACUUCUUACAGGUUCCUAGGUGAUUCUCAUGCUGCUUGUCUGGGGAUCACAAUCCAAAAGUCAUGCCUUGAUUAUUCUCUUCUUGAAUACUUCAGUUUGGCUUUCAUGAGAUCCUAGUUUCCUGUUACUUACAUCCAUUGACAUUUUUAAUCACCUUUUCUAUUAUCUCUGCUCCUUAGUGCUUCUCAAUCAAGGUGAUUUUCCCCAUCCAGAGGAUAUUUGGCAAUGUCUGGAGAUAUUUUUUAUUAUUAAAAAUAACUAGGGGUAGUGAGAAUGGAAAUAUGAGGGGACCAGUGCUACUGGUAUCUAGUAGAUGCUGCUAAACAUCCUACAAUGCACAGGACAACUUACCUACAACAACAAAUUAUCCUUCCCAAAAUAUGGACAGUGCAAAUAUUGACAAACACUACUCUAAAUGCAGGCAUGAUCCAGAGAAAAUGCCUCUAUUCUUUUUUCUUCUCUUCUCUUCUUGCUAUAUAUCCCAUUUGUCAAUUUCAGACAUUCUCAGAGCUUCACCACAAACCUCUUAGAGAUGACUCCCCAUGGUAUAUUUUUAAAUCUGGCAUUCCUUUUGAGUCCUAGCCUAGAUUUCUACCUUUCCAGUGAAUAUCAACUGGAUGAGCCACCAGUACCUUAAGUUUAAUUUAACUAAAUAAAACUGAUCCUUAUAGUGAGAGAUUUGUUUCCAUUAGUGGUAGUCAUCAUUUGACAAUUCACUAUGGGGAGAAUAUUUCUCUAAUCCUUCUCCCUUCUUUUUAUAACCAAUUAGUGUACAUUAUCAGUGUGUCUCAACCCUUUUAGGUGUUCAUAACUUGUACAAAUGCUAAAAGAUUCUUUUUUAAGAUGAAAAGUAUAAAAUAAGAUGUAUGGUUCAGAAAUACCACUCUGAAAGCAAUGCAAGGAAUUCACUGAUAUUUGGCAAAAUCAAAAGAGAAACUCACCAUCCCAUAUGUGAUUACCUAGUGUUUUGAUUGGCCAGGGAGAAAUAGGUCCCAUUUUUCCUAAGAAAAGUAAAGUUAUCUAUCUGUUUAGAACUAAGUCCUAUAUUACUUGGGCAACAUACUAAUUGGAUGUGUUAUCCUUCAGACAAAGAAGAUAUUCUCACAAAUAUGAGUAUUUUGCUUACAGAGAACUAUGAUAUAUUGCUUUCUUUGAUAGAAUUUUAUGUAUAUUUUCCUUGUUACUAGUAAUAGUCAUAUUACUAAUAAUAGCUACCAUUUUUGCGCACUUUUUAAGUGCCAGAACAAGUACUUUGCAUUCAAUCUUACAUAUAUAAGCUUAUAUGAUAGAUUCUGUUACUGUACCAGUUAUGCACCUGUAGAAACUAAAGGUUAAAGAAGAUAAGGAAUAUACUCAAGGUCAUCUAAAUUAUAACUGGUUGAAUUGGGAUUUGAAGACAGGUUCUCCAACAAUCUAACCGAUGCUUCCUCCCGUAACACAAAAUUGAGUUGCUGUGGAACAUGGUUCUCAGAACCUGGUUCUUAUGAGAAACCCAUCUUCUUCAAAAUCAAAGAUCUAGUUGGAGAAGGAAGGGCCAUCCAGCUCAGCCCUAGUGCCUCUAGGGAAUGGUGGGGUAGUCCUCCAUAAGUGAGAGAAGCUGUUUGGCUGGCUAAUGGAAGGAAACCCAAAGGAGAGCUUUUCUUUGUGGAAGUUCAUUACAGGGACACCUAUAGACCUCUUACUCUCACCUGCAUAUCCUUUCUCUUUUGUAGCUUCCAUUUCUAGACUGAAAUGGAUGCAAAAUUGCUACAGCAUUUUGUUCUGCCAGGCUGACCCUGUGACACACAUCAUAGUCAUAAAGCUCUGGCUUAGUUAUUAUUUGCAUGUUCAGGAUUCCUGUGAGGUAGGGAGGUGUAGGCUUGGCCACAGUUCCAGAAGGAAUGGCUACUUCAUUUUAAAAACUAGGAAACCUACAUCCUUUCUAGAUUGAAUAUUGUUUUGAUCACUCAUGCUAAUAGAGUAAUCCUUACUUAUUUCCCCCUCAGUGUUGUUUCCCUGGUAUAUGAAGAGUCUCUAAAGGAAUGCUAGGUUAGAGAUAUCAGGAAGUUAUAAAUUCACAAGCAAUAGUCACAGAAGUUUGGAAAAACUUCAUUCCUUUGUCUUCACAGUACUUUAUGAAGGUACAGCAAAAGAUGUGCCAGGCUGGAAAUAAAAUGAUUACUAGGAAGAUAAGAGUUGUGGACAGUAGUGACUCUCACACCUGGUUGUCCUUAGUCUACCUUCCUUUCUUGUCUAUGUCUUUCCAAAGACUUCUACAAACUUUCAUCCCAGCUAGACCUCAUAAUAAUCACUAUUGGAGAACAUGAACAAGUUAGUUUUGAUGAUAUUGAUGAUAAUUUAUAUGUCUGAUUCUGAUAUCCAUUCAUUAAAAAAAUAUUGUGUAUUUAUUGUGUUCUAGAUACUUUCUCAAGCCCUGGAGAUAUAUUAGGGAACAAGACACAUCAAUCCCUGCCCUAGAGUUUACAUUCUAGUACCAUUUGUCAGAGGGUAGCUAUAUGUGUUUAUAAAAUGUUGCUCUUUGAUACACACACACACACACACACACACACAUACCCAUAUAUCAUAUCUCACAUAUCAUUUGUAGGUUUCUUGUAUGUUCUCUAUACCUCAUCUCCCACCAUUAUUUCACACAUUUCAUAAACGAUUUCAAUACCUAAAUAUAUUUUUGCCUGUGACAGUCUACAUGGAGAGAAGGACGUAGAUGGCGGUAAGAUAACCAUAAAAGGAUACAUUCAGAAUAUUUCCUUUCCUUUUAUUUUAUUUUAUUUACAUUUUUUAAGUUAAAUUAAAUUUGACAACAUAUAGUAUAACACCAAAUGCUCAUCCCAUCAAGUACCCUCCUCAGUGCCCAUCACGCAGUUACCCCCUCUCCCCACCCACCUCCCCUUCCGCAACAUUUUGUUUAUUUCCCAGAGUUAGGAGUCUCUUUCCUUUUAUUGUAAUUGCAAAAAAAUAGGAGUGAUGUUGGCCAUAAGAAUAUAUUUCACUACAAAACUGGUAAAAAGAAUGAUGGACACAUGGACAAAUCUGGGUUCUAGAUACUUCAGAAGAAAUGAUCAUUAGCUGUCCCUAAAGGAUUUUAUUACAUUUCCUGAAAUGGUAGACAUUUUUGAGAUGUGUCCCCCAAAAGUGUGUGUAGCAGUAAAUUUGUAAGACCAUUUUUAACACUACACACAGAUGAGAAGGGUGGAGGUAGCUGGUGAGUGGGGGUAGGGAAGAGUUAGUGGCAAGAAAAGAAAGUGUUUCCAGCCUUGGGCAGCAUGUCUGUCUCUUCCAGCAUUUGUCAGAUUCCAGUUAUUAACCUGUCAGCAUUAGACAGAUUGAAGGAGACACUUCCUCUCAAGGUGAGCCCUUAAGGAAAGAAAAA